rnacentral:snoRNA from 1 species
UUGUCUCUGAAUCAAGGCCAGCAGUUUGUCAAAGCUGUUGGUUACAAGCAGGAAUCUAAAAAAAAAUGCCAUUGUAUAGUCUGCUAAUCAUUUCAGAAUUUUGGAAAUUCAUUAGAAAUAGACAUUUGAAGAACA